GACGAACGCUGGCGGCGUGCUUAACACAUGCAAGUCGAACGGAAAGGCCCUGCUUUUGUGGGGUGCUCGAGUGGCGAACGGGUGAGUAACACGUGAGUAACCUGCCCUUGACUUUGGGAUAACUUCAGGAAACUGGGGCUAAUACCGGAUAGGAGCUCCUGCUGCAUGGUGGGGGUUGGAAAGUUUCGGCGGUUGGGGAUGGACUCGCGGCUUAUCAGCUUGUUGGUGGGGUAGUGGCUUACCAAGGCUUUGACGGGUAGCCGGCCUGAGAGGGUGACCGGCCACAUUGGGCCUGCGAUACGGCCCAGACUCCUACGGGGGGCAGCAGUGGGGAAUAUUGCACAAUGGGCGGAAGCCUGAUGCAGCAACGCCGCGUGCGGGAUGACGGCCUUCGGGUUGUAAACCGCUUUCGCCUGUGACGAAGCGUGAGUGACGGUAAUGGAUAAAGAAGCACCGGCUAACUACGUG
rnacentral:rRNA from 1 species